rfam:Nicotiana attenuata strain TT chromosome 1, whole genome shotgun sequence.
UGGACAGAUUAUCGUAUUCGACUGUAUUCACGGCGUGAAAUAGGGGAUUACAUUGUUUUUAAACGGAAAGUGAAUCAAUUAACAUAAUAGACUCCU